rnacentral:lncRNA from 1 species
UGUCCAAAGAACAGAGUUGUUCCAGUUCAUUCCCAGCCGAAGGAUUCAUCCCAACAUCUCUCCCCUGUUCCCAAUCGGAUGAACAUCCCAAACGAUUGCCUCUCACAAUCUUCUUCCGAACUCACAGAUCUCCUCUCAUUCCAGAUUAACUUCAUCCACAGAUCCUCUACUCCCAGCCAAAUCCAACCUUUCUCUCGCGUCCAGCUUGCGUUCCGCGAUUGAAGCAUUGUGAUCUUAUCUCCCAGGUGUUCCAACCAUAUCAUCCUUCCCAAUUCUAUCCUCCCAUAUCCCACGUUCGGCCGAGUGCAUUAGAUCUCCCGUUCCAGAUAAACUACAUCAGUCAUUCCUCUUCCGAACCAAGCCAACUUCAUUUCAUCUCCUCCACAUUGAUUCUCCCACAUCCAGCAUCCAUGGAUAAAGAUCAAUCCCCUGCUCCACAUCACAGCAGAAUCCAGCCUUCAUCCCGUUGUGAUCCAUCUUCAUCCAAGUUCAUCCCCCAAACUUUCGGAUCAGCUCCAUCCACUCCUCACAUCUCAUUCACAAAUCCAACCAAACUCCCAGUGUCCGUGAUUCAUGGAUAACUCCCAGCUCGUUUUCUUCCUAGUGUCUACAUCCCCUCUUCAUCACGAAUCAAAACAACCACUUCCUCCUCCCAGAUCUCCCAGCUCGUAUCCAGCCUCACGCACAUCUCCCUGAUCUCCAGCCAACGACAGCACUUCCAAACUCCAGCCAGCUGCAAGUAAUCGCCCGAGCCACAAGCCAUCCGCACCUAUAGCAUCCGUGGAUGAACUUCUGAAGCCGAAUCCCAUGAUCUUCGCUCACGCGUCUUGCCCGCAUUCAUCCCAACAUCCACGGAAGAGAUGAAGCCUCCACGAGCUUAUCCUCCCAUUCAGAUCAGCCACAGAGGAGAAGAGAGGGGGGAGAUUGCAGCCUAUAAAAGGAGGAAACUUCUCUUGGCAACCAUCUUCUCUCAAGCGGAGUUCCCACAGAAAUAAAAGGAGAGAAAAUUUUUGGGUAUUUUGGGAAUGACUUCCCAUAAGAGCUAAGAAAGAGCCGUUCUCGGGGAAAUCGCAAGAGGAAUAGAAGAAAGAGAUGGGAGCCCGCUG